UACGGGGGGAGCAAGCGUUGUUCGGAUUUACUGGGCGUAAAGGGCGUCUAGGCGGAUUGGCAAGUUAGGUGUGAAAUCCCACGGCUCAACCGUGGAAGUGCAUUUAAAACUGCUAGUCUUGAGUACGAAAGAGGAAAGCGGAAUUCCUGGUGUAGCGGUGAAAUGCGUAGAUAUCAGGAAGAACACCGGUGGCGAAGGCGGCUUUCUGGUUCGAUACUGACGCUAAAGCGCGAAAGUGUGGGGAGCAAACAGGAUUAGAUACCCGCGUA
rnacentral:rRNA from 1 species